UACGGUGAAUACGUUCCCGGGCCUUGUACACACCGCCCGUCACACCAUGGGAGUGGGUUGCAAAAGAAGUAGGUAGCUUAACCUUCGGGAGGGCGCUUACCACUUUGUGAUUCAUGACUGGGGUGAAGUCGUAACAAGGUAACCGUAGGGGAACCUGCGGUUGGAUCACCUCCUUACCUUAAAGAA
rnacentral:rRNA from 1 species